UACGUAGGGUGCAAGCGUUGUCCGGAUUUAUUGGGCGUAAAGAGCGUGUAGGCGGCCAGGUAGGUCUGCUGUGAAAACUCGAGGCUUAACCUCGAGAUGUCGGUGGAAACCAUCUGGCUAGAGUCCGGAAGAGGAGAGUGGAAUUCCUGGUGUAGCGGUGAAAUGCGUAGAUAUCUGGAGGAAUACCGGUGGCGAAGGCGGCAUCCUGGACCGGCAUUGACGCUGAGGAGCGAAAGCUAGGGGAGCAAACGGG
rnacentral:rRNA from 1 species